GAAAUGCGAUACUUGGUGUGAAUUGCAGAAUUCCGUGAACCAUCGAAUCUUUGAACGCACAUUGCGCCUUAGGCUUCGGCCAAGGGCAUGUCUGCCUCAGCGUCGGGUUAAUAUCGCUCCCCUAUACCCCUAUGGGUAGAGAGAGGCGGAUCUGGCUGUUCCAGCUAUGCAGUCCGAAUCACUCUGUGGUUUGGGCAUCUAUGCACCUGGAUCAGCUGAAGACCAGAGGCUAACCAAGGACCCGUCAAGGGCCGCAACUGGGUGGGCUGUCAAAGGCUAUAUUCUUAGUUGUUGGUCUGGGACUUUGCGUUCGGCCCUCAAACAGGAACCUAUAUUAACCAUUAUCUCGACCUGAGCUCAGGCAAGAACACCCGCUGAACUUAA
rnacentral:misc_RNA from 1 species